rnacentral:rRNA from 1 species
GACGAACGCUGGCGGCGUGCUUAACACAUGCAAGUCGAACGGAAAGGCCCUGCUGUUGUGGGGUGCUCGAGUGGCGAACGGGUGAUUAACACGUGAGUAACCUGCCCUUGACUUUGGGAUAACUUCAGGAAACUGGGGCUAAUACCGGAUAGGAGCUCCUGCUGCAUGGUGGGGGUUGGAAAGUUUCGGCGGUUGGGGAUGGACUCGCGGCUUAUCAGCUUGUUGGUGGGGUAGUGGUAUACCAAGGCUUUGGCGGGUAGCCGGCCUGGGUGGGGGACCGGGCCCAAUAGGACUGAGAGACGGCCCAGAGUCGAAUGGGAGGCAGCGGGGGGGAAUAUGGCACAGUGGGCGGACGCCUGAUGCAGCAACGCCGCGUGCGGGAUGACGGCCUUCGGGUUGUAAACCGCUUUCGCCUGAGACGAAGCGUGAGUGACGGUAAUGGAUAAAGAAGCACCGGCUAACUACGUG